UUACUUGGUUGGAAGAAUAUAUAAGGUAGAAUGGUAAGAAAGACAUUAUUAGACUGCUUUGUCAAUCUAUAGAGGUAGAGUAAGCAAAUCCAUGCCAGGCCCCAAAAAGAAAUUUCAGAAAUUAAGAACUCUCACUUGUCACAUAAGCAAGUGCACAUAGUCUUGAAUACUCAAGGCGUAAAUAGUCUAACCAGUCACUUCAGCAAAAAGGGAAGUCCAGCUUAUAUGGGAAAGAG
rnacentral:lncRNA from 1 species